rnacentral:tRNA from 14 species
UGUUGGUAGACAAAUGGUAGAGCGCUCGCUUGGCAUGUGAGAGGUAGUGGGAUCGAUGCCCACAUUCUCCAGUAA